AAUCAACUUUUUUUUUCACUUUUUUUCCAUCUUCUUGAAAUCUACCCGUCCGAAUCGGUUGAAAUUUUCAGGAAAUCUAAGUUCGAUGGAGCUCUUUAGAACACCGAAGUUUGGUUUCAAUCGGUCCAACCGUUCAAAAGUUAUAAGAGGUUUACACACACACACACACACACACACACACACACACA